rnacentral:lncRNA from 1 species
AAAUCUAACGGCUAGUGGAAAUGACCCGGAUCGAAUCGUCUAAACCGCUGCUAAUGAAAAGCUCGGAUAUGCGUAUAUAGAAUCAAAGUUUCAUAAUGAGCACAAAUUUGAUCAAAAUACUUUCAACCACAACCAAUUGAAUGCUAUACUAAAAAUAGAUACUAUUCCCAAUGACAAAAUACAGAAAAAAGAAAUUGAAAC